CAGAGACCAGGUCUGAGAAUUCACGUUCAUCUUUUAUCAGCUACAGGCCUUAAAAUUAAAAGUCCUUUAAUAUUAAGAGUCCUCUCCCCCCCAUCGCACACACCAUAAGCAACUUGAGAAAUAAAAAGUAGCCAAACAGAAAGGGACAAGAAAGCAAGCCGAGCAGCAGCUGGGAGGGAGGCGAGGUGCUGGGUGCCUGAGGCCAGCAUUCAGCCUCUGGCCUGGGGUGCAUUCUCCUUUUUUCUCUGCUCUCUAGCUACAGAGGGGGGUUUUGUUGAGCGGCCUCACCAAGGGGAGAUUCUGCGAGCUUCAGCCAGGCCUGGCUCGGUGGAACUACAGGCCCAAACUCUAGGUUAGUGGCCACAGAGUGAUUCCCAGGUAAAUCCUGGGCUUCUGGUGUGGAACCGGCCACUGAAGUCCACGGGGGUCCAACACAACGCGUGCAAUGGCCCGGGUUUAUGGACAUGUGAGGUUGGAACACUGGAAAUAACAGUUGCAGCACGCUUCAACCCCGGAGGAGCUUGCCUUCUGCUCUGAUCUCCUCUACGUUCACAAACUUCAAGUUGUCAGGCGCCAGAAGGGCUCCGAAAAACGCAAAACAGCAGCCUCUGUGAGCACCCCCAGCAGUAUGAUCUCAGUGCCCAGCUUCUCCCUUGCACCCCAGGGAGGGAGAGAAGAGAGAGCCCUGAGAAUGGUGGAAGUCCUUUCUGAGCGCAGCUUUCGGGGUUAGAGUUCCGGAAUCCGAGAGAUUCAGGCCUGCAAGCCAAGGUCUGGGGAGAGGAACAGAAGGAAGAGAACUGCCCUGGAGAUCUGAGGCCGCCUCGGUGUAAUCCUCUCAGGCCCUUGGAACUAAAAUCCCAAGGCAGGCCUGACACAUCGCUGCAAAAUUCUAGAGUGGAUCGUCCAACCCUAAAAGUGGGACAACCAGGGAGAAAACCAGCUGGAGCAUUUGCUGCAGUUCUCACUCCACCUUCCAGAAUUCUCCAGGGCGACACUCACCUCCAAAAAUCCCACCUCUUCUUUCCAGCGUGGAAGCCGGUGAGUGACGCCUGGCUAGUAAGGGGUUGUUCAGGUGAAGAGUUUAGAAAGGACCCCCCAAAAGAGACCCCCUCUUAGGGCAAGCCUUCUU
rnacentral:lncRNA from 1 species